rnacentral:rRNA from 1 species
UACGAAGGGGGCUAGCGUUGCUCGGAAUCACUGGGCGUAAAGGGUGCGUAGGCGGGUCUUUAAGUCAGGGGUGAAAUCCUGGAGCUCAACUCCAGAACUGCCUUUGAUACUGAAGAUCUUGAGUCCGGGAGAGGUGAGUGGAACUGCGAGUGUAGAGGUGAAAUUCGUAGAUAUUCGCAAGAACACCAGUGGCGAAGGCGGCUCACUGGCCCGGUACUGACGCUGAGGCACGAAAGCGUGGG